rnacentral:rRNA from 1 species
AGGACGAACGCUGGCGGCGUGCUUAACACAUGCAAGUCGAGCGGUAAGGCCUUUCGGGGUACACGAGCGGCGAACGGGUGAGUAACACGUGGGUGAUCUGCCCUGCACUUCGGGAUAAGCCUGGGAAACUGGGUCUAAUACCGGAUAUGACCUCAGGUUGCAUGACUUGGGGUGGAAAGAUUUAUCGGUGCAGGAUGGGCCCGCGGCCUAUCAGCUUGUUGGUGGGGUAAUGGCCUACCAAGGCGACGACGGGUAGCCGACCUGAGAGGGUGACCGGCCACACUGGGACUGAGACACGGCCCAGACUCCUACGGGAGGCAGCAGUGGGGAAUAUUGCACAAUGGGCGAAAGCCUGAUGCAGCGACGCCGCGUGAGGAUGACGGCCUUCGGGUUGUAAACCUCUUUACAGCAGGACGAAGCGCAAGUGACGGUACCUGCGAGAAGAAGCACCGGCUAACUACGUGCCACAGACCGC